GCGGUCAUGGCGAAACUGGCAGACGCGUACGUUUGAGGGGCGUAUGGGCAACCAUCUGGGUUCAAGUCCCAGUGACCGCACCA
rnacentral:tRNA from 1 species